UCCGGUGGCGAAACCGUGGGAGAGAAAAAACAAACUCACAUUGAUACAACCACACGGAGCCCAACAUGGAGACACUACCACAGUCUGGAAGAUGCUAUCAUUCUCCACUCGCACUCACACUUCGAUUCCUAGCAUCGACGAUAUGCACAGCACAUAGCUUUCUCCAACCCUACCCACUCAAACAACCGGCUCUCCUAAGCAACAGUGCGCUGAGCGAGAAGAAGUACCCACCAGCAACCCCCUAGAUCUCACGUUACUGGCGUGCAGCAGAACAACGAUACGGCGUGUGCGCGUGCGCAGAUUCUAGCAAUCCGAAGCGUGGAAGCUCCAAGGGUUUCGCUGAAAGGGCGAGGAACAGUGUGAGGCAGAGCAAAUACUUCUGAUGCAGAAUUACGAAUGGUUUGGAGGCUCAAUUCUGGCUUUGAUCCAGCAACCUCUCCACACGGUUUUGCUGGAGUUUCCAGCAAAUCCAUAGCUCUUCUGUCAAAGAAGAAAUACUCAUUUCUGGCGUCUUUAGAGCAUCUGCAUAACGGUGAAGAUAGGCUUUGAUGUUGACCCCGACCACAUCUUGUAGAGCAGUGUAACAUGUGUGAAGUUCAUCCAUUGUUUCAUUCUUCAUGAGAUAUGUAAUUUCUGCCAAUGCUCCAAUUUCUUUCUUGAAA